UGCCGCUAGCUUGCUACCACCUCCACCUCUCUCUCUCUCUCUCUCUCUCUCUCUCUCCUCCUCCUCUUUCUCUCUCUACAAUCUCUUCCGCCAGAAGCAAAGCGGUGGACGCCGACGGAAAUUCCGAAGAGCCGUCGCUGUUGGUCCUCGUCAGCUUCAAAACGGACCUCGGCCACCCCUACAAAGUUCCAGAAUCCUCCAUUUCCAUCCCCGCCAGUCUCACCCGCUUCGGCCUCUCCACCGUCGUCAACAACCUCAUUACAUCAGUAAACCCUUAUUGGGAAUCGGAGCCUCUCGAUUUCCUUAUCAAGAAUGAGCUGGUUCGGAUGUGGCUUGAAAAGUUCCUUCUUGCCAAGAACAUUUCCGCGGUGUGUAUCUCCAAUUUUUCGGAUUCAAUUUGCAAUUUGUUGUGUGAAUUGUGUGCAUAAGUUUUCUGAUAAAAUGCUGUAUGUUAUGCAAUUGCAAGCAACGUGAAAUAGAAAGUAAUGCUGAGAGAAUGGAUAAAAGUGAACUGAGAGAAUGGUAAUAAAUGACGGGAUUGGAACAGCGGAAGUUAGAAAGUUAUCAGCUUGGUUAAUGAUAGGGUUUCACUGCAGAUUUGUAAUUUACUUGUUCCAUCUUAAAACAAACUGAAGUAAACUUUGAGAAAAAGAAACAUCGAUUUCCAUUCGUUAGCGGGGUUUUCUGAACUACACCUUGUUAGGCGUAAAUUGAACUCAGGAAAUUCAGUUUCAGAGUUGCCAAAUGAGAUACUUGAAAGAUUUGGGAUUUGUACAUCCUGUAUACCAUUAAAUCCCGUAUUGAAGUUCUGAAUCCAAACUGGGGCUAAGAAACCAACAAGAGUUAAGCUAAUUGGAUAAGUUCUGAAUUCACAUGAUGCUAGGUGAUGCAAGUAAAAAAUAAGGAUAUAUCUGUUGCUAAUAAAAUUUAAAGUUAGUAAUUUAUUUGAGCUGGGGAGUUGUAGUUAGGUCCUCGUACUAUUAAAUAAGGUAGCAUGGAGUAGCUCUCUUGGAAAGUAUAAUUUUCAGUUCAACUCCAAAUCUCUUCAGAGGAAACCUCUAAUGGGAUACUUCUGUAAGAAUUGAAUCUCAUGAGGUUCUGAUGAAAUUGGGUGAGUCUGUGAAGGCAACAUUUAGUAACCCUGUUGCUGGAGGAGGAAUACAUCCUCUCACCAAAUAUGUGAUGAAUUACUUGAGGAUUCUCACAGACUAUGGAGAGACCCUUAAUUUUCUCUUUGAGGACAGUGCUGAUGCUGAUUCCAUUUCGCUGUUGCCUGACACAAGUCCUACCUCAGACGAGGAGAACAAUCCCACUGAUUCUCCAGGCAGAAUUUUCCCAAUGGUUCGCCACUUCCGAUCACUUCAACUCUGGAAGGCAACCUUGACGAAAAGUCCAGGUUAUAUAAGGAUCCUUCCUUGCACCACGUAUUUUUGAUGAACAAUCUAUGGUACAUGGCUCAGAAGGUUAAGGGGGAUGAACUGAGGCCCAGUUUCGGAGACGGCUGGCUUCGGAAGUGCAACGGGAAAGUUCAACAGCAAGCAUUACCAGAGAUCUAGUUGGAGUUCCAUCCUUAAUUUGCUCAAAGAGGAGGCAUUCAGAAUCCCGGUUCAAA